rnacentral:misc_RNA from 1 species
AACGCAAAUUGCACUCUCCGGUUUUCCGGGGGAGUAUGCCUGUUUGAGGGUCAGCCUAAAUAAAAUCGGCUUCGUUGUCGUGUUUUUUCGCGGUAACGUUUGUCGGAAAUUGGGUUAUCUUAAACUUUUUUCGGUUUAAGUGGCUUAAAAUUUUUUUAUUUUACGAUUCUACGAACGUUUCUAAGAUAACAAUCUUUUACGUUCAAGGUAUCGAACACUUUUUAUUAGACGUGACCGUCAUAUCGGAUCUCGUCCAUAAUUUUUUCUUUUACUGACCUCAGACAGGUAAGAAUACCCGCUGAACUUAA